AUAUCCCUAUGCAAAAAGAGUGAAGGCCAAGAAAAAUUAUUUUAGAGCGAAUCAGAGGAGUCCAGCUUCGCGGCAGCCUACUGCGUUUCAGCAGCCAGCCAUGAACGGUUCCCCGGCUUUCCUGGGAAUCACGCUUCUUGCUUUACUCGGCGUUUCAACAACACUGGCGAGUCCUUGUCCCAUGCCUACAUGCCAGCAGCAGCCGCCAGUCUGCCGAAGCUCUUGCAACUGCAGAUGUAGUAA
rnacentral:lncRNA from 1 species